GGGAUAACAGUUAGAAAUGACUGCUAAUACCGCAUAAGCGCACAGUGCUGCAUGGCACAGUGUGAAAAACUCCGGUGGUAUGAGAUGGACCCGCGUCUGAUUAGCUAGUUGGUGGGGUAACGGCCUACCAAGGCGACGAUCAGUAGCCGGCCUGAGAGGGUGAACGGCCACAUUGGGACUGAGACACGGCCCAAACUCCUACGGGAGGCAGCAGUGGGGAAUAUUGCACAAUGGGGGAAACCCUGAUGCAGCGACGCCGCGUGAGCGAAGAAGUAUUUCGGUAUGUAAAGCUCUAUCAGCAGGGAAGAAAAUGACGGUACCUGACUAAGAAGCACCGGCUAAAUACGUGCCAGCAGCCGCGGUAAUACGUAUGGUGCAAGCGUUAUCCGGAUUUACUGGGUGUAAAGGGAGCGUAGACGGUUGUGUAAGUCUGAUGUGAAAGCCCGGGGGUAACCCCGGGACUGCAUUGGAACUAUGUAACUAGAGUGUCGGAGAGGUAAGCGGAAUUCCUAGUGUAGCGGUGAAAUGCGUAGAUAUUAGGAGGAACACCAGUGGCG
rnacentral:rRNA from 1 species